rnacentral:rRNA from 1 species
CACGUAGGGCGCAAGCGUUGUCCGGAAUUAUUGGGCGUAAAGAGCUCGUAGGCGGUCUGUUGCGUCUGCUGUGAAAACUCGGGGCUUAACCCCGAGCCUGCAGUGGAUACGGGCAGACUAGAGGUAGGUAGGGGAGAAUGGAAUUCCCGGUGUAGCGGUGAAAUGCGCAGAUAUCGGGAGGAACACCGGUGGCGAAGGCGGUUCUCUGGGCAUUACCUGACGCUGAGGAGCGAAAGUGUGGGGAGCGAACAGG